rnacentral:lncRNA from 1 species
CUGACAACCUAAGGUUCUUCAAUUCCUUGGCCCUCAGUUGGCUACCCGGACCCAAUAAGCCGUGGCUUUCAUCAUUCCCGGUGAUUCGGUGCAGACGCUUUACUAAUAGGGUGAAUCAUUGGUUACAAUAUCCUUAAUGGUUGAACUCCCUAUGCAUUCCUCUGCCAGAUCACAAGCUUUUCCCAGAAUUGUGGGCCUGAUAGAUGCUUUCUACACUUCGAGUUGGUCUGCCAUAAUAGUUAGGGAAUGUUGGGAGCUGUGUGAGAAAAUGCU